rfam:Gallus gallus isolate RJF #256 breed Red Jungle fowl, inbred line TCD001 chromosome 4, whole genome shotgun sequence.
GGAUGUGAGGGCGAUCUGGCUGCGACAUCUGUCACCCCAUUGAUCACCAGGGUUGAUUUGGCUGAUCUGGCUGGCUAGGUGGGUGUCUCCUUCCUCUCUCACCGCUCCAUGUGCGUCCCUCCCGAAGCUGCACGCUUGGUCGAAGAGGACGACCUUCCCCGAUAGAGACGGUACCGUUCAUCAGUCAAGGGUAUACGGUAGCUGCGCUCCCCUGCUAGAACCUCCAAACAAGCUCAAGAAAUUAAACAUCCAAAUGUAUUUUAGUUACUCUAGCAGGACAAUAUUUUUGCCGUUCUUCCAA